UACGGAGGGUGCAAACGUUAAUCGGAAUUACUGGGCGUAAAGCGUGCGCAGGCGGUUUGUUAAGUCUGCUGUGAAAUCCCCGAGCUCAACUUGGGAAUUGCAGUGGAUACUGGCAGGCUGGAGUAUGGUAGAGGAAGGUGGAAUUCCCGGUGUAGCAGUGAAAUGCGUAGAGAUCGGGAGGAACACCAGUGGCGAAGGCGGCCUUCUGGACCAAUACUGACGCUCAUGCACGAAAGCGUGGGGAGCAAACAGG
rnacentral:rRNA from 1 species